ensembl:lncRNA
CUCCUUACCUUGACUUCUGUAGAUACUUUAGCCAAAGAGACCCUCUCCCCGAAAUAAUAGCAAACUGGAUAACACUCUCACGAAGUAGCAAAUCCUCUGCAGAUUCUCCAAGGUGGUGUAUUGAUCUCUGUCUCACAUCCUCCAAAAAAUAACCAACGAAUGCCAGCUGAGCUUGUUUUUCUUCCCACAACGGCGGCGUGUUAUUGCAGGUUAGUUAGCUAACUUAGCAUAACGUUAGUAAAACGGUGGUCGUGUAAACUCGCGAAUUGUACGUUAGUUUUUACUAGUCAACUUUUAAAGAAUUACAAAUCGUUAUGAUUUGGAAUUACAGUUCAUAUGUAUUUUUUUCCGGCAUUAUUGUUCUCCCUUUUACGUUAUAACAAUCUUUGCUUUUACCUUCAGUCCCCUGUUAUUGCUGGUGCUUCAAUUAAUCAGCAGGCCCCGUCCAAACGCUCACAAACAGGAUAUGACGUUUUGAGAGGCCACCCCACAUGAAACAACUAAGAACUCGAAAAGAAACACCAACUAUUUGUUUGCACUUGAAAAGAGAUACUCCAAAACAAAAUGUGUAAUUUAACUGAAAAUUGAUGACGUAAAUGGGCGGCAGGUAGCCUAGUGGUUAGAGCGUUGGACUAAUAACCGGGAAGUUGCAAGAUCGAAUCCCCUAGCUGACAAGAUAGUUUAUUUCUGUGAUCAAAACCAUUCCCAGUGGUCUUACUACACGGAUGAAAACUCAUCUUAACUUUGGUGAUGACCACAGAGCUUAUCCAGAACUCAGUUUGGAAGGUGUGAGCUUGAGAAAUCUUGUUGUAACAAAUACACAAGUCACAUUUUCCAUUCACGGAACCAACUUACGUCUAGAGGAAAAUUUUUCUGGAACAUGCUUAUUCCUGACAUUGUCUGGAAAAAAAGCUUGGUUGAUGCCUUACAAAUAUUGUAUACCAAACAAAUUUAAGGAACUGCACUUUUAAGGUUCUACAUAAGAUAUAUCCAUGUAAUUCUAUGUUGUCGAAAUUUGUUGAUAUUGAUGAUAUCUGCGUUUUCUGUGAAAAAGACGGUGAAUUAUCUGAC